AGGUAGCGCAAUCACUUGUCUUUUAAAUGAAGACCCGUAUGAAUGGCACGACGAGGGCUUAACUGUCUCCUUUUUCUAGUCAGUGAAAUUGAUCUCCCCGUGCAGAAGCGGGGAUGAACACAUAAGACGAGAAGACCCUGUGGAGCUUUAGAUAAAGGAAUGGCCCCUCUUGACCCCUCCCCCCCGGGGGGGGGCCAGGGGCCCCCAUUCCACUGUCUUUGGUUGGGGCGACCGCGGGGAAAUAAAAAUCCCCCACGUGGAACGAGAGUACCUCUCUUACUACCAAGAGCCACAGCUCUAGCUACCAGAACUUCUGACCAGCAAGAUCCGGCACUGCCGAUCAACGGACCGAGUUACCCCAGGGAUAACAGCGCAAUCCUCUUUUAGAGCCCGUAUCGACAAGGGGGUUUACGACCUCGAUGUUGGAUCAGGACAUCCUAUUGGUGCAGCCGCUAUUAAGGGUUCGUUUGUUCAACGAUUAAAGUCCUAC
rnacentral:rRNA from 1 species